UCCAAGCUCUGAGAGCUUCCCGGAGAGCCAGUGAGAAGGAAGAGGGGUCUGAAAUCCUUAAUCAGCGCAGCAUCGCUCUGCCUCUGGUUGAGUCUCUGAGCCAGUCGGGAGAUCCUACUCUCAGAUCUGAUGAGAGAAAGUCCGAAACAGGCAUCUAAUCCCCAACACAACAACAAUCUGGCAUCCUGACUGUCAUGAGUGGACCUGAGCUGGAUCCACAGGUGAUUCGCCUCCAUGUGCACACAUUUGCUGCUUCAGACUCUAGUGAGCUGUCUUGCUACACGGUAUUUUAAGACAUCACAGGAGGGCUGUUCCAAAAGUUGUAGAUUCGCUGGUGACGAAUCCCCUCUGUGCAGCCAGGGUGAAGUUACCCAACCAUUCCAGCUGGAGAUAAAGACAAGUUUGAGGAAAGAAAAGGGGAUGAUUCACACGACCACAUGGACUGACAGCUAAGUGACAGACAAGACACAUUUUCCUACUACACUCUCACCCACCUCUCCAGUGCAACCACAUAAAUGCCAUCCUGUGUUAAUUUAACCCGAAAACUUCCAAGAAGAGAAAGACACCUCAAAGAAGAAAUGACGAGAUAUAGAGAAGAAAACAAUAAGGUGAAGCAAAAAGGUGAAUGGAAAUGGCUGCAAUUUGACAACGGUAUUUAGCUUAAAGAUUUAGGGAUGUGUUCUUUAUUAAAGCCA